GGGGAUGUUUCAAAUGUGGUCAGAUGGGGCAUCAAAGCAAAGAUUGUCCUAAUAAUGCUCUAGCUAGAGGUCUCCUAUCAAAGCCAAAUACUUCAUAAAGAUUUUAGAUCCGAAGUGGUAAUUAUCUUAUUGAUGCGCAAGCAGAUAAAGUAGGAAUGAAUAACAGUGGGCAAGGUGCUAUGUCAGAUAGAUCAAGAGCUGAAGUGAGAGUAUUUUCCAUGAGUAGACAAGAGGCACGGGCAACUCCUGAUGUAGUGAUAGAUAUGUUAUCUAUAUUUGAUCGAACUAAUUGACCCUGGG
rnacentral:lncRNA from 1 species